rnacentral:rRNA from 1 species
UACGUAGGGUGCAAGCGUUGUCCGGAAUUAUUGGGCGUAAAGAGCUCGUAGGCGGUUUGUCGCGUCUGCUGUGAAAACUCGGGGCUUAACCCCGGGCCUGCAGUGGGUACGGGCAGACUAGAGUACGGUAGGGGAGACUGGAAUUCCUGGUGUAGCGGUGAAAUGCGCAGAUAUCAGGAGGAACACCGGUGGCGAAAGCGCUCUGCUAGGCCGCAACUGACACUGAGGGACGAAAGCUAGGGGAGCGAAUGGG